GACGAACGCUGGCGGCGUGCUUAACACAUGCAAGUCGCACGGAGUGGCUACCGGGUGAGUAACACGUGGGUGACCUUCCCUGCACUUCGGGAUAAGCCUGGGAAACUGGGUCUAAUACCGGAUAGUGUGGGAUGGGGCCGCGGCCUAUCAGCUUGUUGGUGGGGUAAUGGCCUACCAAGGCGGCGACGGGUAGCCGGCCUGAGAGGGGGGACGGCCACAUUGGGACUGAGACACGGGCCAGACUCCUACGGGAGGCAGCAGUGGGGAGUAUUGCACAAGGGGCGGAAGCCUGAUGCAGCGACGCCGCGGGGGGGAUGACGGCCUUCGGGUUGUAAACUCAUUUAACCAUCGACGCGGUAGAUGGAGAAGAAGCACCGGCUAACUACGUGCCAGCAGCCGCGGUAAUUC
rnacentral:rRNA from 1 species